rnacentral:rRNA from 1 species
UUUGGUGACGAUAGCAAAGAGGAUACACCUGUUCCCAUCCCGAACACAGUAGUUAAGCUCUUUAGCGCCCGAUGGUAGUUGGGGUUCCCCCUGUGAGAGUAGGACGUCGCCAAGC